UUUUUUGCUUUCCUUCGCUAAAAUGAAGUACAUCAGACUUACCUCCGAAUAUUUAACGCUACACAACUCAUAUAUCAAUUGCAAAAAAAUAAAUAAAAUAACUUCCAUAUUCUCUGAAGACUCAAACAAUUAUCAUUACGCGUCAAAUGUUCACCACCACAGUAACAUUCAGCAACAUGAAACAACACAACAAUCAAUAGGUCAUGUUUCCGUCUCCGUCUAGGUACUCUUCUCUUGACUUAUCAGCCAGCGAUGUCUUCUGGUAAUCUUGCUUAUUGCUUUUAUAUCUGUUUGUCCGUCUUUUUGUUUUUUUGUUGUCUUGUUUUUCUUUCUACUUUUUUUUCUGUCGUUAUGCCUUCUCGGGUAAUAUAUAUUUACCUUUUUUUUCAUGUUCGUGCGUCGUUUAGGUUCACCACUAGGGGACAGUACCAGCCGUAUAAGUAAAAUGUGUAAACCCUAGCAAACACUGCUGUAGUUUAGGGCUGCUACGACUACCACUCUCAUAUUAAGCGCCAGCAGUGUAUUCACAAAACCUGUUAGGGUCUAUUAAGAUGAAAGUCCCAGGAAAGACUUUUAACUCUUGACAAACAGCUUUUAUGCGUGACGAUGGCGGACUAAAGACAACAACCAGUCGGGCAGCGCCCUUAUCGUCCAGAAGAGACAUCUUUCAAGAAUACGACGACGCGGAAAUGGAAGAGAUUCGAAUCGAUUGUGUUGUUGUUGCAGUGACAGACUUGGUGAGAGACAGGCUUCAGAAGACAAGAAAUACGCCGCUGAGUCGAGUCCUGAGACGAAGGUGGCUCUUAUGGAAAGUCAUUUAACCACUGGUAAACUGCAACAAUGUAAGUGUGACGAAUUUGGGACAACACAGCUUACAAUCAGUCGUAUGAUUACCCAGACGAUUCCACAAGAUGCUGUGUAUGCGUGGGGAUGGUGUAUUGUGGAGAGCACCAUUGGGCAGCUGAAACACAUAUUUCAUGUUCUUUGUGAAGUGCGCUUCAGCCCAGAGAAGACAUGCAAGAUUGUCUGUGUCUGCAUAAUUCUCCACAUCACAAGCAGGAAAACAUUCCACUGCCUGAGUACAAGACGGAGGGUGUAGCUGAAGCCAACAAAGGCGGAGGAAUGGAGCCAAAUCCAACUAGACCUGCUGCCCAAAAUGGGCAUCCACUCCAAGAUUACAUUGCCAAUCUCCACUUCAAUGUGGAUGAAUGAAGUUCUUGCAUUGCUCCCAGCCUAAGGUGUCCCAAAGAUCCACUUUUGGGUGGGGUAGUCUCAGUUUUUCAGUCUGUCCCUCUUAUAAUUAAAUGUACUGCUUUUUUAUGUUUUCUCUCUGCUUUUUUCAUUGUUGUUCCACUUUAAUUUGCAGCGUGUCAUCGUCACUCACUAAAAGGGAAGGUAUAGAUAGUGAUAUAGUAGAAAAUGCCACACACACACACACACACACACACACACACACACACACACACACACACACACACACACACA